rnacentral:miRNA from 1 species
AGGUCCUCAGUAAGUAUUUGUU